UACGGGGGGGGGCAAGCGUUGUUCGGAAUUACUGGGCGUAAAGGGCUUGUAGGUGGCCACUAAGUCAGACGUGAAAUCCCUCGGCUUAACCGGGGAACUGCGUCUGAUACUGGAUGGCUUGAGUGUGGGAGAGGUGAGUGGAAUGCCGAGUGUAGAGGUGAAAUUCGUAGAUAUUCGGCGGAACACCAGUGGCGAAGGCGACUCACUGGCCCGAUACUGACGCUGAGGCGACGAAAGCGUGGGGAGCAAACAGG
rnacentral:rRNA from 1 species